AAACCGAAUUAGACAAAUAAUGAAAGACCUAAAAGAAAAACUAAUAUGGAUAGAAAAAACCUUAGAAAAUUUAGACAAAAGUACAUGUGAUAGUCUAUAUAAUUUAAAAAACUCACUACGAGAAGAACAACACAAAAUAAUAAAUAACAUUGAAAAUCUAGAAUUAGAUAUAUAUUAUAGCACAGAUAGGAUAAAUUAUUAUACAAGAAUUUGUAACUCUGUAAUUACUACAGGAUAAAAUAAUUAAUGAAUAUAUCUUACGAGAAAAGUAAAUUAUUAAAAGAUAACAUCCACGCACAAAAUAAAAAUAGAUUCCCUACAAAUGAAUGUACAAAAUCUAUUAUACCUAC
rnacentral:lncRNA from 1 species